CACCGCCUGGGGAGUACGACCGCAAGGUUAAAACUCAAAUGAAUUGACGGGGACCCGCACAAGUAGUGGAGCAUGUGGUUUAAUUCGAAGAUACGCGCAGAACCUUACCAACACUUGACAUGUUCGUCGCGACCUUAAGAGAUUAAGGUUUUCGGUUCGGCCGGACGAAACACAGGUGCUGCAUGGCUGUCGUCAGCUCGUGUCGUGAGAUGUUGGGUUAAGUCCCGCAACGAGCGCAACCCUCACUUUUAGUUGCCAUCAUUUAGUUGGGCACUCUGAAAGAACUGCCAGUGAUAAGCUGGAGGAAGGUGGGGAUGACGUCAAGUCCUCAUGGCCCUUACGUGUUGGGCUACACACGUGCUACAAUGGCAUCUACAAUAGGAAGCAAAAUGGCGACAUUGAGCAAAUCCUAAAAAGAUGCCUCAGUUCGGAUUGCACUCUGCAACUCGAGUGCAUGAAGCUGGAAUUACUAGUAAUCGCGGAUCAGCGCGCCGCGGUGAAUACGUUCCCGGGUCUUGUACACACCGCCCGUCACACCAUGGGAGUUGGUUCUACCUUAAGGCAGAGUUUAAAACCUCUGACCACGGUAUAGUCAGCGACUGGGGUGAAGUCGUAACAAGGUAGCCGUAGGGGAACCUGCGGCUGGAUUACCUCCUUUCUAAGGAUGGUUAAGAAAAAUUUCUUAACCUAAAUAAUUAACAGGUUAAUGUUGACCGUCCUCAUUUCUCUUCUUAAAAGUGUUUCUCUUUACUGAAUAGGGGCCGGUAGCUCAGUUGGUUAGAGCACACCCUUGAUAAGGGUGGGGUCGAAAGUUCGAGUCUUUCUCGGCCCACCAUUUUUUUGGGGGAUUAGCUCAGCUGGGAGAGCGCCUGAUUUGCAUUCAGGAGGUCAGCGGUUCGAUCCCGCUAUCCUCCACCAGAAACACUUAGCUAUUUAAAUUGUGAAUAAAUUAAUAAUAUCAAUAUCUAUAUCCGAUUGUUCGAAAAGAUGAACAAUCAAAAAUGUUCGAAUAGAUGAACAUUUCAACAAAAUUUGAUUCAACACAGAAUUUUUUUCUG
rnacentral:sRNA from 1 species